CUUGCUUAAUACUGUCCAUUAGCUCUCAUGCCGGGUCAGCAAAAUGCUUUAAUUUUUAACUGUAGAACAUAUGACUCGGUUGAGUCUUUUUGUCUUUUUUUUUUUUUUUUUUUUUUUUAAGUAAACACAGAGUUGGGGGAAUUAGCCUGGGCAUGUUGCCUUAUGUUAGAAUGACUAAGUUAAACCUCUUAAUUUGUAUUUGUCCAAGGCAGACAUGAUAUAAGGAAUAUGCACUACCGUAGUAACUCCCCUGGCUGCAGAAACCACAGUGCAAGCCCGUCCGGGGUGGGGUGCUGACUGCCGUUUGCCGCUUUGAAAUGGGCAUUGCCAUGGUAAUGUGAAUCCCAUCAAUUCAGUAGAUGGGUGGGGAAAUGAAGAUUUCUCCCCAAAUCUUUAGGCAAAAGCCGCAGGCAUGACAGGCAAUGAGCAGGUGAAGAACCAAUGGAAAAGUAUUCAGAAACUCCUGUGUGAGCUAACAGGCUUCUGAAUGUAUCGCUGUGGUCCACAGAGAAGGCUGGAGAAGGUAGCAAGGAGAUGCUGUAUCAGCUACUACAGCCUUAAAACAAAGUUGGUGUCUCUUUGGACUUUAAAAUUGUUCCUAUGCAGCUUAUUUUAUUUUUGUUUAAUCAAAUAAACAAGAGGGUUUUCCAUGGC